AAAAAUUCUGUGCCACUCAACGCCACAGGAGUACAGUUGAAUAAGAGUUAAAUACAGAACCCAUCUUAUUGGCAUCUGGAGGGAAGUGUUAUGAUAGCUUACAGACAGAUGUGUCUCAAGUUCUCUCUGUGUGAUGGGGUCUGCAGACAACAGUUCUUAAAAUGAGAGAGACAGCUAAAUGAUGUCAUUUGCUUGAAUCCAGCUUCUGUGUUCAGGAGAGCUCUCUGUGAACAAUUAGAAAUCCAUUAAGUGUUUGUGUAAAGUUGGUUAUAUCAAGGUGGGAGAUGUCUCAAGAAAAGUGCCAGUAGAAGUUCUCCUGCUAUCCCGAGUCAGCCUUGCUACCCAAAACCGACAAUAUUCUUGUGCAGUGCCAUGGGAGAAGGUUGCAAGAGAUGCUCAGCUGGUGAAUGCUCCUGAAGGACCACAUCUUGACCGACUUUGGUCUGAGCACCAGCACUGCACCACAGGAGGAGAAAGCUUAUGCUGUCGCUGCUGGAGACAUUCCAAAUCCAAGCACGAAAAUGUCAUGUACAGCACGCUGGGAAGGCCAAAUAAUGAGCAGUCUGCAGCAAGGAUCUACCUUUCAUUUUCUCCCCUUCCUCAGAGUGGCAAUGUCUGCUCAGCACAUCUUGGGAGCAAAAUGCAGCUGGGCUGGAGCAGAAAUAAACCGGAUAGCUGAAAUAGGAGAACUGCGUUGGACUGAAUACACC
ensembl:lncRNA